CCUACUGGUGGCAGCAGUGGGGAAUAUUGCACAAUGGGGGAAACCCUGAUGCAGCGACGCCGCGUGAGUGAAGAAGUAAUUCGUUAUGUAAAGCUCUAUCAGCAGGGACGAAAAUGACGGUACCUGAGUAAAAAGCCCCGGCUAACUCCGUGCCAGUAGCCGCGGUAAUACGUAGGGGGCAAGCGUUAUCCGGAUUUACUGGGUGUAAAGGGAGCGUAGACGGCAGUGCAAGUCUGGAGUGAAAGUCGGGGGCUCAACCCCCGGACUGCUCUGGAUACUGUACGGCUUGAGGGCAGGAGAGGUAAGGGGAAUUCCUAGUGGAGCGGUGAAAUGCGUAGAUAUUAGGAGGAACACCAGGGGCGAAGGCGGCUUACUGGACUGUAACUGACGUUGAGGCUCGAAAGCGUGGGGAGCAAACAGGAUUAGAUACCCGAGUAGUC
rnacentral:rRNA from 1 species